rnacentral:rRNA from 1 species
CAGCAGCCGCGGUAAGACAGAGGAUGCAAGCGUUAUCCGGAAUGAUUGGGCGUAAAGCGUCUGUAGGUGGCUUUUCAAGUCCGCCGUCAAAUCCCAGGGCUCAACCCUGGACAGGCGGUGGAAACUACCAAGCUGGAGUACGGUAGGGGCAGAGGGAAUUUCCAGUGGAGCGGUGAAAUGCGUUGAGAUCGAAAAGAACACCAACAGCGAAAGCACUCUGCUGGGACGACACUGACACUAAGAGACGAAAGCUAGGGGAGCAAAUGGGAUUAGAUACCCCAGUAGUCCCUGUCUCUUAUAC